rnacentral:rRNA from 1 species
UGGGGAAUUGUUCACAAUGGGCGCAAGCCUGAUGACGCAACGCCGCGUGGGGGAUGAAGGUCUUCGGAUUGUAAACCCCUGUCGAACGGGACGAAAGACUCGCGAGCUAAUCAUCGCGAGAGUGACGGUACCGUUAAAGGAAGCCACGGCUAACUCUGUGCCAGCAGCCGCGGUAAUACAGAGGUGGCAAGCGUUGUUCGGAAUUACUGGGCGUAAAGGGCGAGUAGGUGGCCAUCUAAGUCAGACGUGAAAUCCCCCGGCUUAACCUGGGAACUGCGUCUGAUACUGGACGGCUUGAGUAUGGGAGAGGAACGUAGAAUUCCAGGUGUAGCGGUGAAAUGCGUAGAUAUCUGGAGGAAUACCGGUGGCGAAGGCGGCGUUCUGGACCAUUACUGACACUGAAUCGCGAAAGCUAGGGGAGCAAACGG